rnacentral:rRNA from 1 species
UGCAGUCGAACGGUAGCAGGAAGUGCUUGCACUUUGCUGACGAGUGGCGGACGGGUGAGUAAUACUUAGGAACAUGCCUUUGUGUGGGGGAUAACCAUUGGAAACGAUGGCUAAUACCGCAUAAUGUCUUUGGACCAAAGAGGGCUUUCGGGCUCUCGCGCAAAGAGUGGCCUAAGUGAGAUUAGCUUGUUGGUGAGGUAAAGGCUCACCAAGGCGACGAUCUCUAGCUGUUCUGAGAGGAAGAUCAGCCACACUGGGACUGAGACACGGCCCAGACUCCUACGGGAGGCAGCAGUGGGGAAUAUUGCACAAUGGGGGCAACCCUGAUGCAGCCAUGCCGCGUGUGUGAAGAAGGCCUUCGGGUUGUAAAGCACUUUCAGUUGUGAGGAAAGGUUGAUGGUUAAUACCCAUCAGCUGUGACGUUAGCAACAGAAGAAGCACCGGCUAACUCCGUGCCAGCAGCCGCGGUAAUACGGAGGGUGCGAGCGUUAAUCGGAAUUACUGGGCGUAAAGCGCACGCAGGCGGUUUGUUAAGCUAGAUGUGAAAGCCCUGGGCUCAACCUGGGAAUUGCAUUUAGAACUGGCAGGCUAGAGUUUUGGAGAGGGGAGUGGAAUUCCAGGUGUAGCG